GACAUCUGCUGCUGAGCUCAUUAGAUCAGAAGGGAACUUGUACAACAGCAGGACAAAGCACAGGACAUUCCACCCUGCGCUCAGCUUCAAAGGCGGACUGGCGGAUCCUGGAAGGCUAGGUCAAGAGGCAACCUGCAGAGGUCUGCGGCAUUUUCACUUCCCAGAUCUCUCUCAGCUCUGUUCUCACCUCUGGGCAAUCACUCUGGAAACAUUCUUUUAUGGGUCGUAGUAUUUUGUGUGUGUCAAUAUUGUUAAGAGCUCUUGUCUCUUCAUGACAAAUGUGCAGGGGUGGCAGCUUCAUUAUUAGUAGCCAAGAGGAGACAGGCGGAUGGCAGUUAGUGCAUGUAUACGUCUUUUAUUGCCAUCAGCCCCAAGAAGAUAAUACCUCAGCAUGACAAGAUCAGAGUUCUUCUAAGGAGGGAAGACUUUUGAUUGAUGGCAUGAACUGUUUGGAAGCAUCCCCAGAAAGAAAUUUGGGAACUGUUAAUUCUCUUCCUGUUUCUGAUCUGAGCAUCAAUUGACUGCAAAUAAAGAGCACUAAAGUCAAUUUCGUCUCUGAAUCCCAACCUACAGAAGAUUCUCAGCAGGAUUCAGCAUUCCAAGGGAAAUUCAGCUGAAAGUUGGCAAUCAGUUCUGAUAAACUGAAGGUGCUGUUGGUGGAUGACAAAAUAAACCAUGGAGAAAGACCAUGACUGGAUUCAGACAACACUUCAAGCAAAUAAUGAUCAAGAAAAACAUGGCUGUUUU